rnacentral:rRNA from 1 species
GACGAACGCUGGCGGCGCGCUUAACACAUGCAAGUCGAACGGUGAACCGGGCUUCGGCCCGGGGAUCAGUGGCGAACGGGUGCGUAACACGUGGGCAACCUGCCCCUCACUCUGGGAUAACCCCGGGAAACCGGGGCUAAUACCGGAUACACCGACCGGUCCGCAUGCUUAGGUCGGGAAAGGUCCGCCGGUGAGGGAUGGGCCCGCGGCCUAUCAGCUCGUUGGUGAGGUAACGGCUCACCAAGGCGACGACGGGUAGCCGGCCGGAGAGGGCGGACGGCCACACUGGGACUGAGACACGGCCCAGACUCCUACGGGAGGCAGCAGUGGGGAAUUGUUCGCAAUGGGCGCAAGCCUGACGACGCAACGCCGCGUGGGGGAUGAAGGUCUUCGGAUUGUAAACCCCUGUUGGGUGGGACGAACACCCUUGUGGUGAAUAUCCACGAGGAUUGACGGUACCACCUGAGGAAGCCCCGGCUAACUCUGUGCCAGCAGCCGCCGUAAAAC